rnacentral:rRNA from 1 species
GACGAACGCUGGCGGCGUGCUUAACACAUGCAAGUCGAACGGAAAGGCCCUGCUUUUGUGGGGUGCUCGAGUGGCGAACGGGGGAGUAACACGUGAGUAACCUGCCCUUGACUGUGGGAUAACUUCAGGAAACUGGGGCUAAUACCGGAUAGGAGCUCCUGCUGCAUGGUGGGGGUUGGAAAGUUUCGGCGGUUGGGGAUGGACUCGCGGCUUAUCAGCUGGUUGGUGGGGUAGUGGCUUACCAAGGCUUUGACGGGUAGCCGGCCUGAGAGGGUGACCGGCCACAUUGGGACUGAGAUACGGCCCAGACUCCUACGGGAGGCAGCAGUGGGGAAUAUUGCACAAUGGGCGGAAGCCUGAUGCAGCAACGCCGCGUGCGGGAUGACGGCCUUCGGAUUGUAAACCGCUUUCGCCUGUGACGAAGCGUGAGUGACGGUAAUGGGUAAAGAAGCACCGGCUAACUACGUG